UACGUAGGGUGCAAGCGUUAAUCGGAAUUACUGGGCGUAAAGCGUGCGCAGGCGGUUCUAUAAGACAGAUGUGAAAUCCCCGGGCUCAACCUGGGAACUGCAUUUGUGACUGUAGAGCUGGAGUACGGCAGAGGGGGAUGGAAUUCCGCGUGUAGCAGUGAAAUGCGUAGAUAUGCGGAGGAACACCGAUGGCGAAGGCAGCCUCCUGGGCUAGUACUGACGCUCAUGCACGAAAGCGUGGGGAGCAAACAGG
rnacentral:rRNA from 1 species